CAGCUGCUAACUCAUCUGCGUGCUGGACUCUGUGGGCGUAGGAGAGAAUAACCUCCUUAGACUUCAACGUGUGUGUCGAUGGGCACUGCCGUUGGGCUUGCUCUGGGGCAUUGGAGUAGAGCUGACACAGUGGAGCUGGGCUCAGAAUCGUCUCCACCCUCAUCUUUGGACCAAGCUCUGGGCCUCAAUUCUCCCUUCCCUUGGAUGAGUUUUCCCUAGAGACACCGUUGGUCCUUCACGUUGCAGCUCCUGCUGGGGCUGCCUUGCGCCCCCGCGGGAUGCCUGAGUCCAAGGGUGUGAACAGAUCCACCAAUUGGUGAUCUCCCUCCCCAGUCAUGGAGGACUCAUCCGGAGCCUCUUGGCCACACUGCAUGGGCCAGCUUCAUCCCACGGCAUGGCAGGAAGACUUUAAAACAGACCUGUUCCACUCUCCGGGACUCAAUGAAAGGACGAGGCGAUUGGAACAGCAUGGACACAGAUCUGGAGCGGCCUCUGCCAGAAGACGCGGAGAGUCCCAGCUGUGAACAGCUGGCUGUGCCCUCCCUGCUGGAAUUCUCUUCCUUCUCUCACACCUGUCCGUUUAGAAAGGAGCAGGCAGGCUGUGAAGCUCUGUGGGAUUCUCCUGGGGAGAAAUGGUAGGGACAACCACGCUGGGCAUUGAAUCCCACACCUGUUCCCCAUCCCUCUCAAGUGUGUGGCUUGGCUCCCAGCUUCCUUGCGGUGAGAAG
rnacentral:lncRNA from 1 species